GACGAACGCUGGCGGCGCGCCUAACACAUGCAAGUCGAACGAGAGAUGAAGAGCUUGCUCUUCAGAUCGAGUGGCGAACGGGUGAGUAACGCGUGAGGAACCUGCCUCAAAGAGGGGGACAACAGUUGGAAACGACUGCUAAUACCGCAUAAGCCCACGGCUCGGCAUCGAGCAGAGGGAAAAGGAGUGAUCCGUCUUUGAGAUGGCCUCGCGUCCGAUUAGCUAGUUGGUGAGGUAACGGCCCACCAAGGCGACGAUCAGUAGCCGGCCUGAGAGGGUGAACGGCCACAUUGGGACUGAGAUACGGCCCAGACUCCUACGGGAGGCAGCAGGUGGGGAAUAUUGGGCAAGUGGGGGGAAACCCUGACCCAGCAACGCCGCGUGAAGGAAGAAGGCCUUCGGGUUGUAAACUUCUUUACCAGGGACGAAAAAAGUGACGGUACCUGGAGAAAAAGCAACGGCUAACUACGUG
rnacentral:rRNA from 1 species